rnacentral:other from 2 species
AUUGAAAUAAAUUAUAACCCCUAUCAGGGAUUGAAAC